GAUGAAGAACGCAGCGAAAUGCGAUAAGUAAUGUGAAUUGCAGAAUUCAGUGAAUCAUCGAAUCUUUGAACGCACAUUGCGCCCCCUGGUAUUCCGGGGGGCAUGCCUGUUCGAGCGUCAUUUUACCACUCAAGCCUCGCUUGGUAUUGGGCAACGCGGUCCGCCGCGUGCCUCAAAUCGACCGGCUGGGUCUUCUGUCCCCUAAGCGUUGUGGAAACUAUUCGCUAAAGGGUGUUCGGGAGGCUACGCCGUAAAACAACCCCAUUUCUAAGGUUGACCUCGGAUCAGGUAGGGAUACCCGCUGAACUUAAGCAUAUCAAUAAGCGGAGGA
rnacentral:misc_RNA from 1 species